rnacentral:rRNA from 1 species
UACGGGGGGGGCAAGCGUUGUUCGGAAUUACUGGGCGUAAAGGGUCUGUAGGUGGCUUGCUAAGUCAGACGUGAAAUCCCUCAGCUUAACUGGGGAACUGCGUCUGAUACUGGAUGGCUUGAGUUUGGGAGAGGGAUGCGGAAUUCCAGGUGUAGCGGUGAAAUGCGUAGAUAUCUGGAGGAACACCGGUGGCGAAGGCGGCGACCUGGGUAGAUACUGACGCUGAGGUGCGAAAGCGUGGGGAGCAAACAGG